GGCAGCGUAGCUCAGUGGUAGAGCAGGGGACUCAUAAGCCUCUGGUCGCUGGUUCGAGUCCAGCCGCUGCCA
rnacentral:tRNA from 1 species